AUGAGUGAAUGAAUGAAUGAGUGAGUGAGUGAAUGGGUGAGUGAAUGAGUGAGUGAAUGAGUGAGUGAAUGAGUGAGUGAAUGAGUGAGUGAAUGAGUGAAUGGCUGAGUGAGUGAAUAAGGGAGUGAAUGAGUGAGUGAAUGGGUGAGUGAAUGAGUGAGUGAAUGGCUUAGUGAAUGAGUGAAUGAGUAAGUGAGUGAGUGAGUGAAUGGGUGAGUGAAUGAGUGAGUGUGUGAGUGAGUGAAUGUGUUAGUGAAUGAGUGAGUGAAUGAGUAAAUGAAUGAGUGAGUGAGUAAAAGGGUGAGUGAAUGAGUAAACGACUGAGUGAAUGAGUGAGUGAGCGAGUGACGGAGUGAAUGAGUAAGUGAGUGAAUGAGUUAACGAGUGAGUGAAUGAGUGAGUGAAUGACUGAGUGGGUCUCUCAGAGGAGAUGAGGACCGGAGCUGCCCUCUGACUGCUACAGUAGACAGGAGCUGAGGGAGGAGUCUGAAGGGUGGGAUGUGCCCACUCGGUACAUAUACCCUGCUCGACACAUCCCCAAAGAAACCUAAUCUCACCAGAGUGGUCUCUUGAGAAUUAUUAGUAACAACCUUUUUUUCCAAUAUUUCACAUAUGCAGGAUGAUUUCUUACUUUCCUUUAAAAUGCCAAUCGUUUUUUGGACUUGGAAUUCUCCACUGCUGGUCCACGCCACUGUAUUCUCCCAUAGGGGCAUCCCCCGAGUUGGAGAAAGAGUCAUUCCCAGGAAUGGAUAAAAGCCAGAAGGGCAUCAUCAGGUAAUUGUGGCCCCCCAGAAACCUAUGGAGAGCUGAAGGGGUUUUAGGAUCAUGGAAUUCACCCUCCUCCUUUGGUAAAAGAAGACAAAGGCCAGAGAGCUGUGUGAUGGCUGAGGCAUGCGAUUGUAAACCAAAAGGUACCUGAGACCGAUCUCAAUCCAUUUAAAAGUUAAUUCUGCCAAGGUUAAGGACGUGCUUGGAAGGAAAAAACACAGGAUCGUGAAACACUCUGUGGUCUAUGCCUUCCUCCCAAGAUGAUUUUGAGG
rnacentral:lncRNA from 1 species